rnacentral:lncRNA from 11 species
UCCCUACUAGCCUGUAUCAACUAUCUUAUUCUUUACAACAACGAUUUGAGGAGUAACAAUAUUUUAGCUAAUAGAUGUAAAAGCGAAGAUAAACACAUUGAGCAAAGGGGGAAUUGGCGAAACAGGCUGCAUUGCACGAGGGAAUAUCGGAAGAGGCCAGUCGAAAAAUCGCCAGAAUCAAACAACUUCAAGGUGCAAACGCAAGGACGCUUACAAAGGAAGGUGAACACUGAUCGACUGCAGUACUACUAACGACGGAACAAACAGUUCCUCAAGUGUAGCCCUAUUUACAGAACGAGUCGAAAAUGUCUCAGAAGCGUAUAUGGCAGGUUUGUACUACGGACAAUAUAUGUGACGAUUUUUAAACCAGGCUUCGAUUAAGCUUAAGGUAGGGAGGAUCAAUUGUUAUCUACUAGGCACCUGACUACAGAAGUUCCAAUUUGGGACCUUUGUCUCCAAAGUACUACAAUCGAGGAGAUUGACCAGAACAACAGAUCUCGCGCUCGUCUGGGAGAACUUGAAGUACAACAAGGUGAACACCUGCAACCGUAUCAAAAUCGGCAUCUCCUAAAGCUUAGCGACCAACUUGACGCGGAGAUCGCUAGAAGUAAAAUACGUUCAGAUGAAUGGCAAGUAAGGAAUACUUGUCUGAGAAAUGCAAAGGAAGCACUAGGGCAACAGCUUGCCAAAAUGGUCGCAACUACUUCGAAUGUUGACUUAAAAUCACUGGAAGAAAAGCAGAAAAAGCUAGAAAAUGAAAAUCGUGAUCUGGAAGAACAGAAAGCAAAACUCAAGAAGCAGGUCAAAGAAUUGACCCAGCAGCAGCAGGAGUUUAAACAAGAAAAAGAAACAUUAGAGAAGUUAAAUGGAGUAAUGGCAAAAAAUCAGACCAGACUUGCCAACAAUUUCUCCCAAGCUCAGGAAGAAGCUACGCGUUUAAGGAAGGACUGGAAUAACAGUAAGCUACUAUAUGAAAAGAAGAUUGCGGAACUGAAAGAACAGCUCGCCGAAAAGGUACACAGCGAGAAAAUUGAAAAGGCCUCAAUGAAGAAAGACACAUGAUUGCCGACAACGAAUAAGCGAUUUCCUCGACAAUUGCCUCUUUAAAAUCUCUUCCGACGACAACCCAACGGAAGCCAGAAUGUUUCCUGAGUUGAGAUAAACCUGCCUGUAGGCGAGCAGUACACAAGAGAUACUCUUCAACGAAUUCUGGCUUACGGAAGCGGCGUUAUUUUGCAUUAUACUGAUGGCUUGUGUGUCGAGAAAGAAACUGCUGGUAAACUAUGCGAUAGCUAACACUGACAUAUUGUACGUCAACAAUUGUAUAAUAGCUCGCUAUAAUCUAGUUUCAUCGGAUCCAGCAUUUCGUGCUCGUACCUCAUGUUAUGUACAGCCAACGCGUUUCGUCUCAACGUCUAAUACGACUGUUGCCGUCGCUGAAUAACUACUGAGAAAGAUUGUUUCUCAGACAUUUUUCAUUGUUGUCAUUAUAUUGUUCGGGAAAUUUUUGAAAAGACUCCCAUCACAGCUUCAAACGUAUGGGUGGAAGAUUUUCCGAGAUUUGUGUCAUGCCGAAAAUCAAACAUUCACAGUAAUAUAUACUGAAGAACAGGAUGCCUUUGGCACGGGGAUGGUGUACUGACGGUGACUACGUCUUCAUGCACGAUGGGGCGCCUUGUCAUAGAUAUCGGCGUAUCCUAAUAAUAUUCAAGUGCUGCCGCAGUUUGCAUAUUUGGCUGAUGUUAAUUCUAUAAAGAACACCUGGAAGAUCGUGAAACUAUGGAUUCGUCAAAUACAGAAAAUAUCAAGCGGAUACUUAACCACUAAUCUGUGACAACCGGAUCCGGUUAAUUGUGAAAAACUCCAUCAGAAGUACAAGAGGCAACAUUUGCAAUUAUAAUCCACCCUCAAUCAGCAGUUUGAAAAUGCCUGCCAAUUCUUUAUGGACCCGUGGGAUACCACUGUGUUCCCGUGAUAGCCUAGUGUGUAAAGUAUCUUCACCCUACUUUUACGGAUAUGUUGUAGUGUAGGUUCGAAUCCGGGUAUAGAUAAACUUGGUUUCGUACAGGGAGCCAACUGUCUGAUAAGAACGCCUUACAGUGUGAUAGUGGACGUAGAACUCGACGUAAACGUUCAACGAAAACUCAAAACGAGUACCAGUAGAGUAUUUUAGUAAUAUGAAGGACGCGUUUACUGAAGCACCUAGUACGAAAAUACUGCAUUUUUAAGCUAUCCAGUAAUACCUAAAAUCUCAAUUGAACACGUCGAUUAUAUAAUUAUGACCGUGUAUGUAAGACACUGUAAGAAAAAAAAAACUCGUACGGUUAAUCUAAAUGGGAUACAGCGGUAUUCUGCGUAAGUACUCAUAUCAGUCACGUACUUCUUAGGGAAUAUUUUAGCUCACUGGUAAAUAAUUCACUGGUAUAUAUGCUUUGAGCGAGAGCACUCUGUAGUGUAGUUCCUAGUGUGACGCGAACCGUAAGCUUCGUUUCAUUACGAUCUAGUGGGAUUUAUGAUAAUGGAUCUAGUUUUUGGUGAAGGUCGUAGUGACACGCUAGUAGUACCACACUGCCUGCGAUUGCUAUGGGCCUUUCCAAUAACUUGGAUAGUUUUCUACAACUUCGGUUGAAUACGUAUAUACGAAGGUAAGUGGGUCCCUGUGACACAACUCAAGAAGCCAAAGCUACAGUGGACAAUCGGAAUUCCACGAUAAAGGCCAAACGAUUGUCGUCGGACGGAUGUGAACAUAUGUAGGUUUGUGAUGAAAGUACAGUUUACGUUGUACGAGGUAAUAAAAUAGCUGCAUUAGCCAAAAUGAAUGCCUCAGAUACGCAUACAUACUUUCUUACUGGCAAUUUCCCUUGAGGACUUAGUACUUCUGAUGCUAAACGAGUAUUAUCACCCGUGUAGGUAGACGCUGACUUAAGGAAAGCUUGAUGAAGCGAACAGCUUGAUGAACACGAGAUUAUUGCUUUUAUCGAAUAAAGUCUUCAUGCUAAAAUAAUCCCAAUGAAUGAAGAUAGGGCGAUGUUUUACUACCAUUCGGCUAGAUAUUGAUUGUUGAAGUUGUGAUAAGAACAAAACGUACAU